rnacentral:lncRNA from 1 species
CAAACAUUUUUUUAUUCCAUUAAUUAUUUGUCACAUACAUACACUUCAAUCUAUUCUAAACAUAACCAGGAAAGGGUAAAAGAUGCAAUUAUGAGACAUGUACAAGAUGAAAUCUAAAACAUCUAGUUGGCGUAGAUCGUUGGCUUCAUGGUUCCGUUGAGUGCAGUCCUUUUGUUUGCUUCCUACAAAAGUUAAACAAUUCUCAAUUAUAAUACAGUAUUAGAAACUAGACUACAGUAGCAAAAUUCCAACAUAGAGGAUCAUCACAUUCUUAAAAAUAAAAACAGUAAUAAAUACCGAGAAUUCCAUAGCCAUGUGUUAACACUAACAUUGAUUCUCGACUGAGAUCACCACAGCCGGCCCACCAUCUCCACAAGGAGUUAAUAGGUCAGCAAAGGCGUUUGUUUCUUCUCAUUAAAACUAAGAUAAAUUACUCUUUUGGCAUAGGAAAAAAACAGAGUACGCAUGAUCUUGAGGUAUGAUCU